AGUGAACGCUGGCGGUAGGCCUAACACAUGCAAGUCGAACGGCAGCACAGUAAGAGCUUGCUCUUACGGGUGGCGAGUGGCGGACGGGUGAGGAAUACAUCGGAAUCUACUUUUUCGUGGGGGAUAACGUAGGGAAACUUACGCUAUACCGCAUACGACCUACGGGUGAAAGCAGGGGAUCUUCGGACCUUGCGCGAUUGAAUGAGCCGAUGUCGGAUUAGCUAGUUGGCGGGGUAAAGGCCCACCAAGGCGACGAUCCGUAGCUGGUCUGAGAGGAUGAUCAGCCACACUGGAACUGAGACACGGUCCAGACUCCUACGGGAGGCAGCAGUGGGGAAUAUUGGACAAUGGGCGCAAGCCUGAUCCAGCCAUACCGCGUGGGUGAAGAAGGCCUUCGGGUUGUAAAGCCCUUUUGUUGGGAAAGAAAAGCAGCAGGUUAAUACCCCGCUGUCCUGACGGUACCCAAAGAAUAAGCACCGGCUAACUUCGUG
rnacentral:rRNA from 1 species